rnacentral:rRNA from 1 species
UGUAAGCGUAUACCAAAGUUGUUGCAGUUAAAACGCUCGUAGUCGGAAUUUGGCAGUUCCGGAUGUGUGCACGUCGUGUGCGCACUUCGCGGGGAUUGCUUUUGUGGUCUUGCGUAGGAUGAGGCACUUUUAUUAGUGAACGUCCUCACGCAACCACUUUUUACUGUGAGAAAAUCAGAGUGCUCAAAGCAGGCAUUUGCCGUGAAUGUAUUAGCAUGGAAUAAUAGAAUAGGACUCUGUCUUAUUUUGUUGGUUUGUUAGGACCGAGUAAUGAUUAAGAGGGACAGUUGGGGGCAUUUGUAUUUCGGCGCUAGAGGUGAAAUUCUUAGAUUGCCGAAAGACAAACUGCUGCGAAAGCGUCUGCCAAGGAUGUUUUCAUUGA